rnacentral:misc_RNA from 1 species
GAUGAAGAACGCAGCGAAAUGCGAUAAGUAAUGUGAAUUGCAGAAUUCAGUGAAUCAUCGAAUCUUUGAACGCACCUUGCGCCCUUUGGCCAUUCCGAAGGGCAUGCCUGUUUGAGUAUCAUGAACACCUCAACUCUUCAUGGUUUUCCAUGAUGAGCUUGGACUUUGGGGGUCUUGCUGGCCUGUGGGUCGGCUCCUCUCAAAUGAAUCAGCUUGCCGGUUUUUGGUGGGCAUCACAGGUGUGAUAACUAUCUACGCUUGUGGUUUUCCACCAGGGUAACCUUCAGCAGUGGAGGUUCACUGGAGCUUACAAAUGUCUCUCCUCUGUGAGGACAGCCCUUUGAAUGGUUGAUCUCAAAUCAGGUAGGACUACCCGCUGAACUUAAGCAUAUCAAUAAGCGGAGGA